GGCAGCAGUGGGGAAUUUUCCGCAAUGGGCGAAAGCCUGACGGAGCAACGCCGCGUGAGGGAUGAAGGCCUCUGGGCUGUAAACCUCUUUUAUCAAGGAAGAAGAUCUGACGGUACUUGAUGAAUAAGCCACGGCUAAUUCCGUGCCAGCAGCCGCGGUAAUACGGGAGUGGCAAGCGUUAUCCGGAAUUAUUGGGCGUAAAGCGUCCGCAGGCGGUCUGUCAAGUCUGCUGUUAAAGCGUGGAGCUUAACUCCAUUUCGGCAGUGGAAACUGACAGACUAGAGUGUGGUAGGGGCAGAGGGAAUUCCCGGUGUAGCGGUGAAAUGCGUAGAUAUCGGGAAGAACACCAGUGGCGAAGGCGCUCUGCUGGGCCAUAACUGACGCUCAUGGACGAAAGCCAGGGGAGCGAAAGGGAUUAGAUACCCCUGUAGUCCUGGCCGUAAACGAUGAACACUAGGUGUCGGGGGAAUCGACCCCCUCGGUGUCGUAGCCAACGCGUUAAGUGUUCCGCCUGGGGAGUACGCACGCAAGUGUGAAACUCAAAGGAAUUGACGG
rnacentral:rRNA from 1 species